GCAGCUCACUUUGGCAGCACAUAUAUUCAUUGGAACAAUAGAAGAUUAGCAUGGCCCCUGCACAAGGAUGACAUGCAGGUUUUUGAAGCAUUCCAUAUUUUU
rnacentral:snRNA from 1 species